CUCACGCUUUUUCUGCUUCUCCAAACCCUCACGCCUUUUCUGUUUCUCCAAACCCUUACUCACGCCUUUCUUCUCCAAACUUUGGUUCUCCAAACUUUUUCAAUUACGCCUGACCUCCUAUUUCAAACGUGACAGUGACGGUGAAGUCCAUUUUAGCGGUGAUGUAAUGGUGAAGUUCGAUUUCAACAUAAAAGAUGACAGUGAGGUCCGAUUUCAACCUAAAAGGUGAGGAUGAAGUCCGAUUUCAAUCGGUUGCCUCAGAUCCCGUUGAGUUCACGCCCAAAUCCUUUCGAUUUCAACGUUUUCUCGAAUCCCUUUGAUUCUGACGAGUGGUUGCUGCCUCUAAUCCCUUCGAUUACGCCAUUUUCAGAGGGACCAACAUCAUCUCUCAUAACAACCGCACGACGCCGUAACAACAAUCUUCUCAUUCAUUUGUUUGUUCGUUGUUUAAACUUUUAAUUGCGAGAAAGCAAACAAAUUUCUUUUCAAAUGAGAUUUUCAUGUAUGCUUAAUUUAUUAUUUUUUAUUCUGAAACUUGAAAGGUGUAGUUAUUAUACCCCUCUGCUUUUGAUCGGUACUCCUCCUCAGAGAUUUGCUAUUAUUGAUACAGAGAGUAUUGUUACUUAUGUUUUGAGCUCUACUUAUGAGCACUAGUAAGCACCAGGUAAUGUUACAGACAUUUUUAAGUGGAGGAAGCCUCUCAUUUGUAAAGAGGAUUCACUCAUUUGCUAAAUCAACCAUAAUAUCUGGCCUUGUUAAGUGGUACCCAAUGAUAGGAUAGCACUCAAUUUCAAAUAGAUUAUUAGUAUUGACUAAUGGAAAAACUAUCAAAAAUAUGUUCUUGAGAGGUUGUGGUUCUUCAAAUUAAAUCCCAAAUAUUUAUGAAGAGGAUGAUAGAGAUGAUGAUGAGUUCUACAAACUUAAACGAGUUUGAUGAUGUUAUUUUAGACUUGUACUUAAGCAUUAAACUUAAAGAAACUAUGUAUUUUAUCAUUUGCUAGACUUAUACUUCUAAGUAUUAAA